CCAAAACCCGAACCAAAGCCAGAGCCCAAGCCUGAACCUGAACCGAAACCGAAGCCGCCUUCAAAGUGCAAACCACCGACAACUCACAAUUGAUGGGAUACUUAUAUAUGAGAGUAGUUGGAGGAGACCCCGCACGGAGCCACAAUGUGCUAUUUCUAGAAUAAGUGGUGUAGUAUUCCCUGUAUUCCAUUUCUUUUUAUUUUUCCAUGCGCGCGUGAUGAGUACUAGUACUCUGUAAUUACUAUUUGGUUGUUGGUAUAUGUUCAUCUACUUUGUAUAUGACUCGACUCAUUGUUCUUUUGAGUAUCUACGCAUGAUUGUAUUCAUUCACAUGAAUUAGCUAUUUUGUUAGAGGACUGCAGUCUAUGUUUUUUUUGUAUGGGUUGCAAUCUCGGUUAUUUUCUCUAUGGGAUUGUUUCAUAUUAUGUGGUCUUUUUNNNNNNNNNNNNNNNNNNNNNNNNNNNNNNNNNNNNNNNNNNNNNNNNNNNNNNNNNNNNNNNNNNNNNNNNNNNNNNNNNNNNNNNNNNNNNNNNNNNNNNNNNNNNNNNNNNNNNNNNNNNNNNNNNNNNNNNNNNNNNNNNNNNNNNNNNNNNNNNNNNNNNNNNNNNNNNNNNNNNNNNNNNNNNNNNNNNNNNNNNNNNNNNNNNNNNNNNNNNNNNNNNNNNNNNNNNNNNNNNNNNNNNNNNNNNNNNNNNNNNNNNNNNNNNNNNNNNNNNNNNNNNNNNNNNNNNNNNNNNNNNNNNNNNNNNNNNNNNNNNNNNNNNNNNNNNNNNNNNNNNNNNNNNNNNNNNNNNNNNNNNNNNNNNNNNNNNNGAAGAGAAGGCCUCCCUAAAUUGCAGCACACAUAUGAAAUGUAUAUAGUAUGCGCGUAUGUGUCUGGUGUUCUAGAUGUAUAAAGUGUACUCACACGCCACACAGCGGUUUUGUUCUCUACCCUUCGCCUAUGAACUAAGUCCCGACCAGGUGCGUUAGUAUUUAUACCCAGGCUCUAUGAGUGAGCUGGCUCCAUUGCUAGUUAUACUAGGUAAACGUCACAUACAUUGCUACGGAAAUUUAUAGCAAUGAAAUUUAAAAAAAUACCAUAUAUGUGAAUAAUACUACACAACAUUCUCAACAUAUGACAAUAGAAAACCUAGAUGUAACUGGAGGGUGGAUGCAUGUUAUAUUGUCUUGCAACCUUCAAGUUUAAUUAUUUGUUGUUGAAAGAUAAUAAAUAGUAAAAAAAUAAUAAGGUUAACAGCUUGCGUGUGUUUGAUUAUGUAGAGGGCUUGCAUAUGAUGGAAAGUGAAAAGUCUAAUGAUUACAUGCACCCUUGAUGAUGUAGAGGACUUGCAUGUGAUGAAAAAUGGUAAGUGAAAGUUGAUUGGUUGCAUGUCCUUCAUGAUGUGAUUAAUUUGCAUGUGCAUUUAGACUUACUUAGAUAUAUAGGAUAUGUGUGUGAAAGGUAACUGCACCCCCUGGUCAAGAUUAGUGGCGGAGCUACCCAAAAAUUGUUGGGCAGGUCAAGGUGGCCCAUCCUAAAGGAAACACGUUUUUCUCUCUCAAAAGGCCCAAGUUUACCUAUACUUGGCUAUGGGCUGGGCCGGCUAUGGCCCAUCUGGCCUUGUUGUAGCUCCAACAGUGGUCAAGACUAUCAAGAAAAGGCACCAUGAAAAUUAUAAUAACAGAUUUUCUCUUACUCAAUUCGCAACAAGAAAAAUCUCCCAGUGAUAGUGCUACGCAACAUUCGAGAGACCAUAAUAAUCUCUCACCCAUCCCAUGGUGCUGGCAGGGUCAACUCUAUAAUUUUGAGAGCGCUUGUGUGAAAUUGGCAAAUUGAUAGUCUUUUUCUUUUCUUUAUUGCGCAUGAAAACUCCUUUUAAGCAACAUUAUAGUAACCCUAAAACUGACAAGGAAAGUAAAUAAAGUACAUAAGUAGAAUUUUAGAAAUCAGAGCACUAACAUUUAACAUGCUUCGACGAAUGGGUGGCUCUGGUAAUAUGGCUAUGGGUACGAGGAAUGAGAGGCCUAGAGUGACAAGCUCAUGCUUCGCUGUCACAGAUGUCUGAGGAGGAGGCGAGACGCUCACGUCACCAAGCUACGAGACAAACCUGUGAAGAUGAAAAUCACGAAUUACAAUUAGGAGAACUGGUGACGCCAUGUGUCCGUGUCGCACGCCGAUUAUGAUUCUUUUCCUUUUUAUGGACCAGUUCAACCAACGGCUAAAGGCCUAAAGCUUGCUUCUUGGAGAGCGUGUAUACCUCAAUUUUAGGAAAGCUCCUUCUCAGUGCUUAUAGUGCUCAUUAGUGCCGCAGCGCACAAGAGCUCGCGCGCAUGGGUCAUCGCAUUAAAAGGCAAAGCGGUUGCUUGCUUGGCCACCCACUACACACUUUUUUUGCAAGCCUUUUUUUAAGGAUUCUCUGUUAUUCAAUGAAAAAAAUCCCACCGGUUUUCUAAAUUUAAAAAUUCAUGAAUAUGAAAAUUUUCAAAAAUUUGAAAAACAAUUACAGUUUGAAGAGAAUGAAUUGAAAAUUUUUGAAAAUUUUAAAAAAAAUCACAAAUUCAUUUUUUGUGAAUUUGAAAAAAGGUGAUUCAAAAAAGUUUGUGAAAUUUGAAAAAAAUCUCAUGAAUAUGAAAAAAUGGUCACAAAAUUGAAAAACUUCAAAAAUUUGAAAAAAAUGUUAGAGAAGUUUAAAAAUAAAAUAAUUAGAAAAAGAGAAAAAAAAAGGCAGAAGAGUAAAAAAGAAAAAUCAGGAUGAAAGUUUCCAUAACCAAAGUUGGCCCAUAAGCUUCUGGAAGCUUCCUAAAACCGACGGGAGGGAGCUUCUGCUCAUGUAAAUGCCAUAGAUUGGGCAGCCCUUUUACAAUCUAUUGAAGCAAGAGGUGCAUGCGCUUUUUAUCAAUAACUUGGAAACCAAUGGUAAAUAGCAUAUCUCCACUUUUAGCGCGGCGUAGAACGGAAUUCGACUACAGAUCCACAGUAUGGGCCAAUCCCAACAUGUUUUUCUAACAAGCUACUUUUUCUAUUGGGGCAGAUGUCUCACUCUAACGAGUAGGAUUUUUUUGUUCUUAUUUUCACAUUUUUCUUUUCAUUUUUUCUAAUUUUCUAGAAAACGCUCUAUAACAUAUAUGGGUGAUCAUAUAAUUUAAUAAGUUUUCAUGUACUUUAAAAAUGUUCAUCACCUAUUUAUAAAACGUUUUCAAAAUAUGAAACAUUUUUAAAAUACAAUUACAAUUACAAAAAGUGUUCAUAUUUUUCUGAAAAUAUACACUAUGAACAUUUUGAACAAUACGGAUGAAGAUUUAUUUUAAUACAUGAUGAACCUUUGUAAUCACAAUAUUUUCUAAAAAUACACAAAGAUUUUUAUAUACACAAUAAAUAUGUUGUUCAUACACGAUGAACAUUUUGUAAAAACAUGAGUGAACAUUGCCCAACUCCGAUGAGGAAGGGGCAAUGAUGGUAGUACCCCUUCGGCUUGCUCGACUGAUUGUAGACAUCGCUAGGUGGUCUAUGGACCUGAACAUAAGUUCUAUUACCUCUGGUGUUCUUGUAUUGACAUGAUGGUUGAUAAGUAGAUCGGAUUUUUUCGAUAUUUUUUUAAGAAAAAUGUUCAACUUGUCUUACAAAUUGUUCCGAAGAUUAAGAAAAAUAUAUUCGCAUUUUUUAAAAAGAACAUUGCAUUUCAAUUUUUUCACAUGUUUAGAAAUUGUUCAUGGCAAUAUUGAAAUAUAAAAAAUGUGUUAUUACAGUUUUGGAAAAAUGUUUGUGGUAUAUAAAAAUUGUUCAUCAUGUAUUUAUAAAACAAUCAAACUUGUAUUAAAAAAUAUUAUAUGUAUAUUUUAAAAAUGUUUAUUAUUUUUAAUAUUUUCAAUAUGUAUUUGAAAAUAGGAAAAUGAAAAACAAAACAUGAAGCAAUGAACAGGAAAAGUAAAAGAGAAACCAAAAAUGAAAAACCUAAACAAACCCAAUAAAGAAAACCCAGACAAAACGUUAUGAGAUCACAAGAAACAAACAAAUGCUACACACCUCCACCACUACUGGGCCACAGCCCACACCGCAUCGCCAGAGGUGAGCGCCUCGCGGUAGGCAGAGACAUAGCAUUUGCGUAAAAUGACCGCACGAAUUGAACAAACUGUCGGCUAGCUAGUUAUUAGAAAGACAUGUAACUUAAUUCAAACUCAACAAAAUUAUAGGUACAAUGCUUUGGAUCAUAGAUACAAGAAAUUAUAAAAUAACUCAUAUAACUAAGAAUUACAAUGAAACCCUCUUGAGUCAAAAUAUGAUAAACAGAGGAAAAAACAUUAGCACAUAUAAUCUUUACUCUAUCCGAAUAUAUGGCGGUGCUAAACUCAGCAACCCCAUUAGUUUUGGAGCUCCGGUUUCAUGGAGCCUUUUUUGGAAAAUCAUACAUUAAUAACUAAAACACGCGCGUGCAUGAGACUGGAGAAUGAGGGGCAUGCAACAUCAAAAUAGGUUAGUUUGUCGGAAUUAUAAGAUUUAAUAAUUUGAGACAAUAUGCAUAAUAAAACCCUCACUAGUGCAGUGUCGAAAACGCUCUUAUAUUGUGGGAUGGAGGAGUACAAUUUUGAAACUGUGCCCAGUAUAUCGGGCCAGAGGGAGAGCUUGAGAAAACACUGAGUCAGCGAAAACUCAGGUGUACGAAGCAGACCAUGGAGCCUUGGGGCUUCUUAACAGGUGGUCCUCACGCACGAGGUGGCUGCACAAUUGGGCCAGUUCCUUACCGGAGACCUUUCCUUUCCAUUCAUUGUGAAUUGAACUGAAGCGAUUGCUUUUUACUUUGUAUUGCAUUGCACAAACGUGUACACUGUCUAUCUUAAUUUCUAAAUGAUGGCCGGUCACAUGGACGUGUGAGCACGGGAUUGACAAGGCAACUAACACAAUUCUACUACUACGAGGAGGCAACUGAUAAUAUUGUUACUCACCCUACUAUCAUCAGAUGGAGACACACAAACAUAAUCCACUGGACAAGGCAACUAACAUAAUUUCUAUUACCACGAGGUUGCAACUAAUAGAGUAAAAAUAUUGUUACUCACAUGUACUAUCAUCAAAGAGACACACACGCAGAAUCCAGCUGUGCGUAUUAACACCUCUAGCUACCUCCGUAGGUCGCUUCAUUUGUAAUCAACUAAUCAACCAAUAUAACUCCAUUGACAUGUUACCCAGUACUACUUGUCACUCCAGCUACCUAGCUGCAAUUCUAAUUAAUGCACCCUCCAGAUCUGUUUUGUUUCACCCAGCCUAUAAAACCACACAGUAUGUAUCUCCAGCUCUCCACACAACACACACGCGCGCACACACAAAGCGCAGCAGGUUCAACACUAGCUACAAUCACAAGUAGGCAGCAAUGGCGAGGCAUCGCCUCCUCGCCGUGCUCCUCAUCGGCAUAGUUGCAGCCUCCGCCUUCAACCAAGCAGCUGUGGCUGGCCGAGGCCUUGCUGCCAUCGAGAAGUUUGCAGAGCUAGAGCCAAAGCCAGAACCUAAACAAGAGCUAAUGCCCAAACCUAUGCCACACACAGAGCCAGAGCCAUGCAAACCUGAACCGACGCCCAAACCCAAACCAAAGCCCGAACAAAAGCCUGGACAUAAGCCUGAGCCAGAACCCAAGCCCAAGCCGAUGCCAAAACCGAAGCCCGAGCCCUGCUCCAAACCAAAGCUGGUGCCAAAACCCGAACCAAAGCCAGAGCCCAAGCCUGAACCUGAACCGAAACCGAAGCCGCCUCCAAAGUGCAAACCACCGACAACGCACAAUUGAUGGGAUGCUUAUAUAUGAGAGUUGAUGGAGGAGACCCCGCACGGAGCCACACUGUGCUAUUUCUAGAAUAAGUGGUGUAGUACUCCUUGUAUUCCAUUUCUUUCUAUUUUUCCAUGCAGAGUACGUACUAGUACUCUGUAAUUACUAUUUGCUUGUUGGUAUAUGUUCAUCUACUUUGUAUGUGACUGACUCGUUGUUCUUUUGAGUAUCUACGCAUGAUUGUAUUCAUUCACAUCAAUGAGCUAUUUCGUUAGUGGACUGCAGUCUAUGUUGUUUUCUCUAUGGGGUUGUUUCAUAUUAUGUGGUCUUUUUUGGGGGGAAAGACGAUGUCAACAAAAAAGAAGAAAAUGACUCCCUAAAUAGCAGCACACAUAUGAAGUGUAUAGUGUGCGCGUACGUGCCUGGUGUUCUAGAUGUAUAAAGUGUACUCACACGCAAGACAACAGCCUUGUUCUCUACCCUUCACCUAUGAGCUAAGUCCCGACCGUGUGCGUUAGUAUUUAUGCCCAGGCUGACUCCGCUGCUGGUUAUACUAGCUAAACUUUGCACACAUUGCUACGAAAAUUUAUAGCAAUGAAAUUUUGAAAACUAGCAUAUAUGGGGAUAAUACUACACAACAUUCUCACCAUAUGUCAAUGAAAACCUACAUGUAAUGGAGGGUGGAUGCAUUUUAUAUUGUCUUGUGACCUUAUAGUUUAAUUAUUUCUUGCUGAACAUAAAUAGUAAAAAAUAAUGAGGUGAAGAGCUUUCAUGUGUUUGAUGAUGUGGAGGACUUGCAUAUGAUGAAAAGUGAAAAGUUGAAUGAUUACAUGCACGCUUGAUGAUAUGGAGGACUUGCCUGUGAUGAAAAGUGGUAAGUGAAAGUUUAUUGGCUGCAUGCCCUUCAUAAUGUGAUUGACAUGCAUGUGUAUUUAAAUGGGAUGACUUACUUAGAUACUAUAUAGGAUAUGUUUGAAAGAUAACUACACCCCCUAGGUCAAGAUUACCAAGAAAAACACCAUGGAAAUUAUUAUUAAUAGAUUUUCUCUUACUCAAUUCGCAACAAGAAAAAACACUCAACGACAAUGCUAUGCAACAUAAGAGAGACCACAAUAAUCUCUCACCCACCCCAUGGUACUGCCAGGGUAGGCUCUAUGAUUUUAAGAGCCCUUGGGUGAAGUUGGCGAAUUGAUCAUCCUUAUUUUUUCCUUUUUCAACACUCAACAAAUCUUUUUUAAGAAACAUUAUAGUAACCCUAAAACUGACGAGGAAAGUAAAUACAUAAAUUGAACUUUGAAAUUAGAGGUCUAACAUUUAACAUGCUUCGAGGAAUGGGUGGCACUGAUAAUAUGGCUAUGGAUGCAUGCAAUGAGAGAUCUAGAGAGUGACAAGCUCGUGCCUUGUUGUCCUUGACGUAUGAGGAGGCGGCGAGACUCACGUCGUCAAGCUUCGAGACAAACCUGCAACGACGAAGAUCGUGAAUUGCAAUAAGGAGAACUGGUGAUGCCAUGUGUCCAUGUCGCAUACCGAUUGUGAUUCUUUUCCUUUUGAUGGACUAGUUCAACCAACGGCUAAAAGCCUAAAGCUUGCUUUUAGGAGAGCGUGUAUACCUCACUUUUAGUAGAGCUCCUUCUCAACGCUUAUAGCGCUCGCUGCAGCGCACAUGUGCUCGUGCAAAUGGGUCUUCCCAUUAAUUGGUAAAGCAGUUGCUCGCCCGACCGCCCACUACACUCCUUUUUUGCCGCCUUCUUUUCCUGGUAUUGCUCUAUAUAUUAUUCAAUGAAAGAAAACUUCCACCGGGUUUACAAAUUUAAAAAAAUCAUGAAUAUGAAAAGGUUCACAAAUGUGAAAAAAUACGGAUUUGAAAAUAUAAUUUAUUCAAAAACAUGGACAACUUCUAAAAAAUCACAAAUUCAUUUUUUGCGAAUUCGAAAAGGUGAAUUAAAAAAUUGUAAUUUCAAAAAACUCGCAAAUAUGAAAAAAUGUUCACAAAAUAAAGAGUUCAUGAAUUUAAAAAUAAUAAAAGAAUGCAAACAGAAAAGAGAAACAAGGCGGAAAAGUAAAAAAGAAAAACCAGGCAGAAAGUUUACAGAACCAAAGUUGACCCAUAAGCUUUUGGAAAAUUCCUAAAAACGGGAGGGAGCUUCCGCUCACGUAAACCCCAUAGAUUGGCCACCCCUUAUACGAUCUAUUGAAGGAAGAGGUGUAUGCGCUUUCUACCAAUAACUUAGACACUAGUGCUAAAUAGCAUAUUUCCACUUUUAGCGAGGGGUAGAACGAAAUUUGACUAUAAAGCCACGGCAUGGGCCAAUCGCAACAUUUUCUUUCUAACAAACAAGAUUUUUCUAUAGGGGCACACGUCUCACUCUAAUGAGCGUGUUUUUUUCAUUCUUAUUUUCACUUUUUUUUCUCAUUUUCUAGAAAACGUUCUAUAAAAUAUAUGGGUUUGUACUUUUGGUAAGUGAUCAUGUAGUUUAAUAAGUGUAAAUGUACUUAAAAAUGCUCAUCAUGUAUUUAUAAAACAUUUUCAAAAAAAUCAAACAUUUUUCAAAUACACAUAGAACUGAAAAGUGUUCAAAUAUUUUCCGAAAAUAUACACUGUGAACAUUUUGAACAAUAUAGGAUGAAGAUUUCUUUCAAUACAUGAUGAACCUUUCAAAUAACAAUAUUUUUCUAAAAUUGCACAAUGAUUUUUUUAAAUCCAUGAUAAUGUUUAAAUAUACAAUAUUAUUUUCAUACACGACGAACAUUUUGAAAAAACAUGAGUGAGCAUUGCCCAACUCCCAUGAGGGAGGGGCGAUGAUCGUGGUGCACUUUCGGCUUGGUCGAGUGAUUGUAGACAUCGCUAGGUGGUCUAUGGAACUGGAUGUAAGUUAUGUUACUUCAGGUGUUCUUAUACUGACAUGAUAGUUGAUAAAUAGAUCGAAAGUUUUUUUUUGUAAAAAAUAAAAGAAACAUUUCGAACUUGUCUUAAAAAUUGUUCCUGAGAUUUUGAAAAUAUAUUUGCCUUGUUCCAAAAAAUUACAUUUUCAUUUUUCACAUGUUUAGAAAAUUGUUCAUGGCAAUACUAAAAAUGUUUCAUUAUAAAAAAAGUUCUUACAUUUUUUAUAAAAAUGUUCAUAGUAUAUCAAAAAAUUUCAUCAUGUAUUUAUAAAACGUUCAAAUAUGUAUUGGAAAAAUAUUAUAUGUGUAUUUUUAAAAAUAUUUUGAAAAAAAAUCAGCAUGUAUUUGAAAUAUGGAAAAAUGAAAAAGAAAAUACAAAACAAAACAUGAAAUAAAUGAAGAAAAGUAAAAGGGGUAUGAAAAUGAAAAACCUAAAGAAACGCGAUAAAGAAACCAGAAGAAAAAACCCAAACAGAAUGUUUCAAAAAUCGCACGAAACGAACCAAUGCUACGCCUCCACCGCGACUGGGCCACAGCCCGCACACCAUUGCCAGAGGUGAGGGCCGCAUUUGCGCAAAAUGACCGCACACAUUGAACAAACUGUCAGCUAGCUAGUUAUUAGAAUGACAUGUAACUUUAUUCAAACUCAACAAAGUUACAGGUACAAUGCUUUGAUCAUGCAUACAAGAAAUUAUAAAAUAAUUCCUAUAACUAAGAAUUACGAUGCAACCCUCUUGAGUAAAAGUAUGACAAACGGAGGAAAAAAAUAUUAGCACAAUAUAAUCCUUGCUCUAUCCGAAUAUAUGGCGGUACAAAACUCAGCAACCCCGUUCGUUUUGGAGCUCCGGCUCCAUGAGGCCUUUUUUGGAAAAUCAGACAUGCAUAACUAAAACAUACGUGAUCUAACAUAUCUUAUAUUAGUUUACAGAGGGAGUACAUGCAUAAGUAAAACAUACGCAUGCAUGAGACUGGAGAAUGAGGGGCAUGCAUCGUCAAAAUAGGGUAGUUUGUCGGACAGUUAUAAGAUUUAAUAAUUUGGGGCAAUAAGCAUGAUAAAUCCUCAUUGGUAUCUAUAAUUUUGAAACUGUGCCCAGUAUACCGGGCCAGAGGGAGUGCUUGAGAAACACUUUUUACAAAAAGAAGGAUAACCCCUGAUCUAUGCAUAAGCAAUGCACACAGCCACUUUUAUUAUAUUAUUCAACAAAAUCUGACAAAACUAGUACAUGGACAACAUAAAGCCAUCUUCAUGGCAACCACUUGAGAAAACACUGAGUCCGUGAAAACUCGGUCGACGAAGCAGUCCAGGGAGCCUUGGGGCUUCCAACAGGUGGUGAAGCUCCCGCACAGGGUGUACGAUCGGGCCAAUUCCUUUCCAUUGUGAAUUGAACUGAAGUGAUUGCUUUUUUUUUACUUUGUAUUGCAAUUGCACUAACAUAAUUCUAAUGAUGGACGGUCACAUGGACGUGUGAGCACGGGAUUGACAAGCCAACUAACAUAAUUCUAUUACUACGAGGAUGCAACUAAUAGACUAAAAAUAUUGUUACUCACCCCCGCUGUCAUAACAAAGAGACACACACGCAAAAUCCAGCUGUGCUUAUUAACACCUCUACCUACCUAGGUUGCUUCAUUUGUAAUCAACUAAUCAACGAAUAUAACUCCAUUGACGUGUUAUGCAGUACUCUUUCACUUCAGCUAGCUAGCUGCAAUUCUAAUUAAUGCAGCCUCCAGAUCUGCUUUGUUUCACCAAGCCUAUAAAACCACACAAUAUGUAUCUCCAGUUCUCCACACAACACACACACACACACACACACACACACAAAACACAGCAGGUGCAACACUAGCUAGCUGUAAGCAUAAGAAGUAGGCAGCAAUGGCGAGGCAUCGCCUCCUCGUCGUGCUCCUCAUCGGGAUAGUUGCAGCCUCCGCCUUCAACCAAGCAGCUGCCGCUGGCCGAGGCCUUGCUGUCGUUGAGAAGUUUGCAGAGCUAGAGCCAAAGCCAGAGCCCAAACCAGAACCAAUUCCCAAGCUUACGCCACACCCAGAGCCAGAGCCUUGCAAACCUGAACCAAUGCCCAAACCCAAACCAAAACCCGAACAAAAGCCCGGACAGAAGCCCGAACCAGAACCCAAGCCCAAGCCAAUGCCAAAACCAAAGCCCGAGCCCUGCUCCAAACCAAAGCCAGAUCCUAAGCCCGAGCCGAUGCCGAAACCCGAACCAAAGCCGGAGCCCAAGCCUAAACCUGAACCGAAACCGAAGCCGCCUCCGAAGUGCAAAUCACCGGCAACACACAAUUGAUGGGAUAAUUAUAUAUGACACUUGACGAAGGAGACCUGGAAUGGAGCCACACUGUGUUAUUGUUAGAAUAAGUGGUGUAGUAUUCUCUGUAUUCACUUUCUUUUUAUUGUUCCAUGAGCGCGUGAUGAGUAUUAGAACUCUGUGAUUAUUAUUUUCUUGUUGCUAUAUGUUCAUCUACUUUGUAUGUGACCAGACUCGUUGUUCUUUUGAGUAUAAGUGCAUGAUUGUAUUCAUUCGCAUGAAUGAGCUAUGUUGUCCAGUGGGCUGCAGUCUAUUGUUG
rnacentral:lncRNA from 1 species